rnacentral:rRNA from 1 species
GUUUGAUUAUGGCUCAGAUUGAACGCUGGCGGAAUGCUUUACACAUGCAAGUCGAACGGCAGCAUAGAGAGCUUGCUCUCUGAUGGCGAGUGGCGAACGGGUGAGUAACAUAUCGGAACGUGCCUAGUAAUGGGGAACAACUAAUCGAAAGAUUAGCUAAUACCGCAUACGACCUACGGGUGAAAGCAGGGGAUCUUCGGACCUUGCGUUAUUAGAGCGGCCGAUAUCUGAUUAGGUAGUUGGUAGGGUAAAGGCCUACCAAGCCAACGAUCAGUAGCUGGUCUGAGAGGACGAUCAGCCACACUGGAACUGAGACACGGUCCAGACUCCUACGGGAGGCAGCAGUGGGGAAUUUUGGACAAUGGGGGCAACCCUGAUCCAGCCAUUCCGCGUGAGUGAAGAAGGCCUUCGGGUUGUAAAGCUCUUUCGCAAGAGAAGAAAUCUUAUCGUCUAAUAAACGAUAAGGAUG